rnacentral:rRNA from 1 species
GUGGGGAAUAUUGCACAAUGGGCGGAAGCCUGAUGCAGCGACGCCGCGUGGGGGAUGACGGCCUUCGGGUUGUAAACCUCUUUCGACAGGGACGAAGUGAAAAUGACGGUACCUGUAUAAGAAGCACCGGCUAACUACGUGCCAGCAGCCGCGGUAAUACGUAGGGUGCGAGCGUUGUCCGGAAUUACUGGGCGUAAAGAGCUCGUAGGUGGUUUGUCACGUCGUCUGUGAAAUUCCGGGGCUUAACCUCGGGCGUGCAGGCUAUACGGGCAAUACUUGAGUGCUGUAGGGGAGACUGGAAUUCCUGGUGUAGCGGUGAAAUGCGCAGAUAUCAGGAGGAACACCAAUGGCGAAGGCAGGUCUCUGGGCAGUUACUGACGCUGAGGAGCGAAAGCAUGGGUAGCGAACAGGAUUAGAUACCCCUGUAGUCC